rnacentral:rRNA from 1 species
CCUACGGGAGGUAGCAGUGAGGAAUAUUGGUCAAUGGCCGCAGGGCUGAACCAGCCAAGUAGCGUGAAGGAUGACUGCCCUACGGGUUGUAAACUUCUUUUAUAAAGGAAUAAAGUGAGGCACGUGUGCCUUUUUGUAUGUACUUUAUGAAUAAGGAUCGGCUAACUCCGUGCCAGCAGCCGCGUUAAUACGGAGGAUCCGAGCGUUAUCCGGAUUUAUUGGGUUUAAAGGGAGCGUAGAUGGGUUGUUAAGUCAGUUGUGAAAGUUUGCGGCUCAACCGUAAAAUUGCAAUUGAUACUGGCAGUCUUGAGUACAGUUGAGGUAGGCGGAAUUCGUGGUGUAGCGGUGAAAUGCUUAGAUAUCACGAAGGACUCCGAUUGCGAAGGCAGCUUACUAAACUGCCACUGACAUUGAUGCUCGAAAGUGUGGGUAUCAAACAGGAUUAGAUACCCGAGUAGUC